rnacentral:misc_RNA from 1 species
CUCCUUGGGUAUUUAGCAUUGAGGAUCUCUUUCUGCCCAUAUUUUCUCCAUGCAUGACCAUCUUCUAUUGCAUCUGAGACUGUUGUCCAUGACUGGGAAGUCUUCUUUCUCUUGUAACAACCCCUCCUCUCCUUGGUAGUUGCCCUCUUCCUGCUCUCGCCGGAAUCUUCAGAUCUCCGGUCAUCACAGCAAGCUGAGUCCCCUUGGGAAGUUAUCUGGUUCUGAAAAUUCUGAACAAAAUCACAAGUUAGCAGGGUAAGAGCUUCAGUGAAAGAUCUCAAGAUCUUGACCGCAAGCUCAUUAGCUGAGAGAAACCCAUUAUCUCCGUAAGGUUUCUCGAGGAGAAAUUGAAGAUGAGUUGCAGAUUCUUGGCCUUGAACGAGCUCC